rnacentral:rRNA from 1 species
UAGUCCACGCCCUAAACGAUGAAUGUUAGUCGUCGGGUAGCUAGUCUAUUCGGUGAUGCAGCUAACGCAUUAAACAUUCCGCCUGGGGAGUACGGUCGCAAGAUUAAAACUCAAAGGAAUAGACGGGGACCCGCACAAGUGGUGGAGCAUGUGGUUUAAUUCGAAGAUACGCGAAGAACCUUACCUAGCCUUGACAUAUUUAAGAACACUUUAGAGAUAGAGUGGUGCCUUCGGGAGCUUUUAUACAGGUGCUGCACGGCUGUCGUCAGCUCGUGUCGUGAGAUGUUGGGUUAAGUCCCGCAACGAGCGCAACCCUCGUCACUAGUUACUAACGGUUCGGCCGAGGACUCUAGUGAGACUGCCUUCGCAAGGAGGAGGAAGGUGAGGACGACGUCAAGUCAUCAUGGCCCUUACGGCUAGGGCAACACACGUGCUACAAUGGUAGUGACAAUGGGUUAAUCCCCAAAAGCUAUCUCAGUUCGGAUUGCUCUCUGCAACUCGAGAGCA